rnacentral:piRNA from 12 species
GCCCGGAUAGCUCAGUCGGUAGAGCAUC